rnacentral:rRNA from 1 species
AACGAACGCUGGCGGCAUGCCUAACACAUGCAAGUCGAACGAGACCUUCGGGUCUAGUGGCGCACGGGUGCGUAACGCGUGGGAACCUGCCCUUAGGUUCGGAAUAACUCCCCGAAAGGGGUGCUAAUACCGGAUAAUGUCUUCGGACCAAAGAUUUAUCGCCUUUGGAUGGGCCCGCGUUGGAUUAGCUAGUUGGUAGGGUAAAAGCCUACCAAGGCGACGAUCCAUAGCUGGUCUGAGAGGAUGAUCAGCCUCACUGGGACUGAGACACGGCCCAGACUCCUACGGGAGGCAGCAGUGGGGAAUAUUGGACAAUGGGCGAAAGCCUGAUCCAGCAAUGCUGCGUGAGUGAUGAAGGCCUUAGGGUUGUAAAGCUCUUUUACCCGGGAUGAUAAUGACAGUACCGGGAGAAUAAGCGCCGGCUAACUCCGUG